GGUUUGAAGAGCCCGGCCGGCUCGAGGUUUCUCGAGUGAGUGCCGUGCUGUCGGACCAUCCUUCCAAUGGCCGCACAUCCUUAACGGGGUGUGCGGUGUUGGAUCGUUUACUUUGAAAAAAUUAGAGUGUUUCAAGCAGGCUUAUGCUUUGAAUACAUUAGCAUGGAAUAAUAAUUUAGGACUUCGGUUCUAUUUUGUUGGUUUCUAGAGCAGAAGUA
rnacentral:rRNA from 1 species